rnacentral:rRNA from 1 species
UACGUAGGCAGCAAGCGUUGUUCGGAAUUACUGGGCGUAAAGAGUGUGUAGGCGGUGCUCCAAGUCUGGUGUGAAAUCUCCCGGCUUAACUGGGAGGGUGCAUUAGAAACUGGAAUGCUAGAGGAUGGGAGAGGUAAGCGGAAUUCCUGGUGUAGCGGUGAAAUGCGUAGAUAUCGUCUGGAACGCCGAAGGUGAAAACAGCUCGCUGGGGCUGCGCUGACGCUGAGACACGAAAGCCAGGGGAGCGAACGGG